rnacentral:rRNA from 1 species
GACGAACGCUGGCGGCGUGCCUAAUACAUACAAGUUGAGCGCUGAAGGUUGGUACUUGUACCAACUGGAUGAGCAGCGAACGGGUGAGUAACGCGUGGGGAAUCUGCCUUUGAGCGGGGGACAACAUUUGGAAACGAAUGCUAAUACCGUAUAAAAACUUUAAACACAAGUUUUAAGUUUGAAAGAUGCAAUUGCAUCACUCAAAGAUGAUCCCGCGUUGUAUUAGCUAGUUGGUGAGGUAAAGGCUCACCAAGGCGAUGAUACAUAGCCGACCUGAGAGGGGGAUCGGCCACAUUGGGACUGAGAAACGGCCCAAACUCCUACGGGAGGUAGCAGUAGGGAAUCUUCGGCAAUGGACGAAAGUCUGACCGAGCAACGCCGCGUGAGUGAAGAAGGUUUUCGGAUCGUAAAACUCUGUUGGUAGAGAAGAACGUUGGUGAGAGUGGAAAGCUCAUCAAGUGACGGUAACUACCCAGAAAGGGACGGCUAACUACGUGCCAGCCGCCGCGGUAA